rnacentral:rRNA from 1 species
AGUUUGGACUGCGAAUGGCUCAUUAUAUCAGUUAUAGUUUAUUUGGUGAAGUGUACUACUUGGAUAACCGUAGUAAUUCUAGGGCUAAUACAUGAGAAAGUCCUCUGGUGAGGUGUGUUUAUUAGAAUGAAAACCAUAUGCUUCGGCAUGAUAGUGAGUAAUAGUAACCUAUCGUAUCGCAUGCUUAAUGUAGCGAUGAGUCUUUCAAGUUUCUGCCCUAUCAGCUUUCGAUGGUAGUAUAUGGGCCUACCAUGGCAGUAACGGGUAACGAAGA